rnacentral:rRNA from 1 species
AUUUGGACAAUUUUUGACAAUUUGACCUCAAAUCAGGUAGGACUACCCGCUGAACUUAA